rnacentral:tRNA from 1 species
GGAGGGUAAGCGAAUGGUGAGCGGCCUGACUCGAAAUCAGGUGCCGGGAAACCGGUUGUGGGUUCGAAUCCCAUGCCCUCCG